CUGGUGCUGUGGCACACUAGGUUAAUCCUCCGCCUGUGGCACUGGGAUCUAUAUGGGUGCCAGUUCUAGCCCCGGUUGUUCCUCUUCCAGUCCAGCUCUCUGCUGUGGCCCAGGAGGACAAUGGAGGAUGGCCCAGGUCCUUGGGCCCCUGCACCCGCAUGGGAGACCAGGAAGAAGCACCUGGCUCCUGGCUUCGGCUCGGUGUCGUGCCAGCUGUAGUGGUCAUUUGGGGGGUGAACCAGCAGAUGAAAGACCUUUCUCUUUCUCUCUCACUGUCUGUAACCCUACCUGUCAAAUAAAUGAAUAAAAAAACUUAAAAAAAAAAAAAAACAAAAAACAAAAACUUGAGUCACAUCUUAGAAACUGACCUGGAUGAGGGAGUUCUGACAAUAGUUUGGAGGAUAAAAAUCUUGGAAAACUAACUAUCCUUGUGAGUCAACAGACAGCCACAAUACCAGACAUCUUGUUCCCCUUACUGUGUGUGCAGUCCUUGUGCUCUGCCUUGUUUCCAUACAGUUCAUACACUAGGCGUCCUUUUCACUAUCAUUGCUUUGGUUACUGUUUCCCUUGGGCUUACGUGCUCCUCCAAAGCUCUGUAAUGUGUCACUUCUAAAAGUCCUGGCAUGAAAACCCUGUGUACUUAACCCCCUUGUAAACUCGUCUCUGCUCAUUCAGAGGCUACUAAGCUACAGAGCAGCCCACAGAUGCAGGCCUUCUAUUGAAAACCCUGGACAGACAGGCCAAGAUGCAGAGGUCCCUCUCGCUGAGCCACUGGGCUGCAAGAGCUGUCUCAUACUUCACCAGGGACACAGCAAGUUCCCGGGGUUAUUCUCAGCUGCAACACUAACCAGGGAGGCUUCGCAAGGAAGAUGGUCUGACAUGAGGUACAUCAUCAUUACUGGAACCUUCUACAGUUUUCAUUUUUUUCUGAGCCACAAUGAAUUUGGUGCUUUGGAAAGUGUGAAAGCAGCUAGUGAACUCUACUCUAUCAGGAGAAGAAGCCCUUGCAGAUAUCCAGGACCUGUCAACAAAUCUUGUUAUGAAGACGGUUGGCUGAUCAAACUGACACUGAGUAACCCUUCAGAACUAGAUGAACUUAUGAGUGAAGAAGCCUAUGAGAAAUACAUAAAAUCUAUUGAGGAAUGAAAGUGGAACCCUUACAUGAACUAGUAUGGAAUAACUUGAUCCAGCACAGUUUUAUCUUAAAUUAGUGGCAGACAGGAUUUAAAAUAGCAACUUUUAGCAAUAUUGAUGGGAAGAAAUACUACCUGCAACUCUGCUACUGGAAGAGAAUAUCCCCUAACUUUGUAAUGACUGCAGAUGAACACAAUAUGCAUCUUUUUCUCAGUACCUAGUGAUUUUUAUACUAGGCUCUAGGCAAUAGUACUCAGCAUACAAGAAGCUAUCUGUGGUAAAAACUAGUUAUACAAUAAUGUAAUUCAAGGAUAACAUUGUUAUCUUAAGCCUAUGUAAUGUUGUAACUUGCUUAGACUCAUCUCUGGAUUGGGGUCAAAAUAUGUAAUGAUCUUUCCAUUGGAAGUAACUGGGAAUGGGCAACAGUUUUUGUUAGUUGUACAGUGUCAGAAAAAGAACAAUACUACCUUAAUUUUGCAAUAUACUGCAUUUGCUGGUGCUGUGUUAUACAGUGAAGCAGCAGCUCUAAGGCAAAAUAAGAAACAUAAUAAAAUUUUCAACUUCCUCAUUAAAAAAAAAAUCAGGGGGCUGGCAUUGUGGCAUAGCUGCUACACGUGACACCAGCAUCUCAUAUGAGCACCAGUCAAUGACCAAACUGAGCCAUUUCCAAUCUGAUUUCCUGCUAAUGGCCUGGGUAAAGCAGAAGAAGGCCCAAGUGUUUGGGCCACUACCACCCACUUGGGAUACCCAACGAUGCUCCUGGCUCCUGGCUUCAGCCUGGCUUAGCCCUGGCAAUUUCAGCCAUUUGGAGAGUCAAUCAGUGGAUGAAAGAUCUCUCUCUCUCUCUCUCUCUCUCUCUCUCUCCUUCUGCCUCUGCCUCUCCCUUUCUCUCUGUAAUUCUGAUUUCAAAUAAAUAAAUCUUUUUUUAAAAAGUCAGUUUCAUUUCUAUAUACUAACGAUGAUGACUAUCUGAAAAAGGAAACUAUCUUAUUUACAGCAGCAUCAAAAAAUACUUAAGGGCCAGCAUUGUGGUGCAGUAGGUUAAGCCGCUGCCUGCAGUUCUGGCACAUCAAUCAGAGUGCAGGUUUGAGUCCUGGCUGCUUUGCUUAUGAUCCAGCUCCCUGUGAUGUGCCUGGGAAAGCUGCAGAAAAUGGCCAAGUACUUGGAGUACUGCCACCCAUGGCAGACUGGGAUGGAAUUUCUGGCACCUACCUUAGGCCUGGUCCAGCCCCAAUCAUUGUGACCAUUUGGGGAGUGAACCAGUAGGUAGAAGAUUCAUUCUCUCUCUCUCUCGCUCUCGCUCUCCGCUCUCCUUUCUCCUCCUCCUCUUCCACCUCCUCCUCUUCCUCCUCCUUUCUCUGUCACUCUGCCUUUCAAAUGCCAAAAUAAAUCUUUUUAAAAUCACUUAAGAAUAAAUUUUACAAAAAAAGUGAAAGAGUUACACUAAAAUCUAUAGAACACUGAUGAAGGGGAUUAAAGGAAACACAAAUAGAUAGGAAAAUGUGAAUUAAAAGAAAUAAUAUUGUUAAAGUGUUCCUCUUACCCAAAAUCAUCUAUAGAUUGAAUGCAAUCACAAUAAAAAUCCCAAUAACACAAGUCACAGAAAUAGAACAAUCUUGAAAAUCAUGUGAAUCACAAAAGACCCUGAAUAGCCAAAGAAAUCUUGAGAAAGAAGAACUAAACUGGAGGCAUUAUGCUUCCUGAUUACAAAAUAUUGAUACAGUAUGGUGCUGGUAUAAAAACAAACUGACCAGCACAACAGAACAGAGAGCCCACAAAUAAACACAUGCAUAAGUGGUCAAAUAAUUUUUGACAUAGGCACAUGAUGGGGAAAGACCAGCCUCUUCAAUUAGUAGUGUUGGAAACAUGGGAUAUGCACAUGUAGAAAAAAGAAAGAAAAGAAAUUAGAUCUUUCUCCUACACCAUAUGCAAAAUGGCUCAAAUAAAUCAAUGCAAACUGGAUUACAGAUUCAAACACAAGAUCUGAAAGCAUGGAGCUCCUUUUUGAAAAUGUGGGAAGAAACCUCUUUGACAAUGGUCUUGGCAAGAAUUUUUGGAUGUGAUACCAAAAGCACAGGCAACAAAAGCAAAAAUAGACAAAUGGGACUACAUAAAAUGGAAAAGUUGUUGCAUGGCAAAGGAAAGAACAAAAUGAAAAAGGAAACCAUGAAAUGGAAAAAAUAUUUGCAACCAUAUGUUCAAUAAAGGAUUACUAUUCAAAAUACAGAAGGAAUUCAUACAACUUGAUAGCAAAGAAACCAAAUGAGCUGAUUUUUAAAAUGGGCAAUAAAAUAAAACAAAAUGAAAAUAAAAUGUUGGUGGAAAAUGGAAUUAAAAGAUGUUUAUUUUUUAGAAAACAAUGUGAAAUGCACAUGUGAAGGAUCUUCAACGAGUUCAUGAAAAAUGAGCUUAUUAACAAAUGUGCAUGUGUUCAAAAAUUUUUGCACCAAAAUAAACUUAUCUUUUAAUUCUACUUUCCUUAAAGUUUUUGAAGUGCACUUGCAUAUAAUGCAGAAAAUAAGACAUUGUAAAUAAAUCUUGACUGGGGCAAACUACAUCUAUUCAUAUCAGAUGAAGAUUAGCCUGGGAGAAGAAAAUAAAAAAAAGGAGAAAGUAUGACUCCACAGCACAGCAAAUCAUUCAAGCUGCUGGCAUCUGCUAUGGUAGGCAAUAUCUAGCCAAGGGUAUAUCAGCCAUGGAGGACUUUUUAUUUUUUCAAUGAGAGUGCAUAUCUGGCAAUCUCCCAUGAUUUGUGAAAUGCAGCUAGAGCACUGUGCCUACACUGGGUGGUCAGCCAAUUCUCAUUUCUUGACAAUUCAUUUUUGACAACAUCUAAGUCAUUAGACAUGCAUUUUCUCUUUGCUGUUGCCCACAGCCAAUUCAUGCCAGUGUUCACGUGACAUCUAUUUACCUGGUUGUUUAUCAAAGUGCUGGAGAUGUGUCUUGCAGCUGGCAGAUGGUUUUAACACUGGCUUUAAAUAAGUCGCAUCAAUCAGGGUGCCCUUUGGGUCUACUGAGUGCCCGUGGAGCUGGAGAAGGGUUAACUCUUGGGGUGAGAUGGCUUUACAGUAUUUUAGGGGGAAAUUAUAUUUGCCUUCACACAACCCAUGCUUUCUCAGAAAGAGGAAGUGUGUUUUUCAGAGUCCAGCAGUCAAGAGAUAAAACUAGAAUAAUUCCACUGAGUUACUUGGGCCUGGGGUUCUUCAACAGAUGUGAUAAUAGAAUGUAAAUAUUGAUAUCCAGCUGUCAGCCUACUGAACUUACUUGCAGAGGUUAGGAGAACUUGGCUGCUUUUGCUGAGAGCUAGUUAAGGGCAGGCAGGAAAUUCAGCGAAGAAUAUAUUUAUUAGCUUUUUUUCCCCUUCUAAUUUCGAGACUCGAAAAUGUACACAUGACACACACAAAGGAAAUGGAGGGCUUCUUCCCAGGUUCAAGGGACUGAGAAGUUGAUUCUUUCUUUAAAAAAAAAAAUUUUUGAGAGCCAGAGUUACAGGGGUGGGGGGCAGAGGGGAGGGAGAGAAUGAGAGAGGGAGAGGGAGGUCUUUCAUCUAUGGGUUCACUCCCUAAAUGGCUGCAAUAGCUGGAGCUGAGCCAAUCUGAAGUUAGGAGCCAGGAGCUUCUUCAGGGUCUCCCAUGUGAGUACAGGGGCCCAAGUGCUUGGGCCAUCUUCGACUGCUUUCCCAGGCCAUUAGCAGGGAGCUGGAUUGGAAGUGGAGCAGCUGGUUCUGGAACCAGCACCUAUAUGGGUGGCUGGUGUUGUAGGUGGAGGCCAGCGUUACAGGUGGCAGCUUUACCUGCUACACCACAGCACUGGCGCAAGAAAUUGACUGUUUCUGAGCCAAGUAGUAGACUGCAUCACACCUUGACGGGGAGUACCGGAUGAGACGAGGCUAUGGAGCACCGAGCUUAAGUAAGAGCUGCAGACUGGCCGCCACCUCCUUGCUGCCUCCUCAGCCCCUGCACUUGCUCCGGCCGCCCAUUCUAGCCUGCAAGCCCUUUGACAGCUAAGGGAGCCUGAGAGGUGCCAGUCCCAUCAUGGGGGCAUGGAUUUGAAGCUCUCCGGCCAGGGCUCACCACUCACAGCGUCUUUACAUUUGCCCUGCACUUUGACAACACACAGUCAUGUGCUGCCUAACAACUUUUCAGUGAGUGACCAACUGCAUACACCAGGGUGGGCCCAGAAGACUGAAAACUUCCUGUCGCCUGGUGCUGUUGUAGCCACGGCAGUGUCAUAGUGCACGGCUCAAGCCUUUGCUUGCGGUGCUGCCCUACGUGCCCUUUAAAAGCAUGGUGCAUCCAAGUACGGGCAGUACAGAGCACUGGCGAGUGGCUUAUGUAUGUACUAUGCUUUUUAUUGUUGUGUCAGAGUGAACCCCCUCCACUUAGAAAAACUUCCCACAAAGUGAGCCACGUGAUGCUGGCAGCAACGUCAUGCAUCUUGUGUUACCCCCUCUCUCGAUGCCAUCAGGAGGCCACACUGAGUGACUGACCUGCACCGUUUAGGUUUGACUAAGCACUCUCAGAGUCACACAAUCAUGAAACCACUGGAUGACACAUCUCUCAGAACACAUCCCUGUCACAGAGUGACACCUGCCUGUACACACACAGAAGAUGGCAGGUGGCAGGAGG